UACCUGUAGAACGCUGGCGGCGUGCCUAAUACAUGCAAGUCGAGCGAAUGGAUUAAGAGCUUGCUCUCUAGAAGUUAGCGGCGGACGGGUGAGUAACACGUGGGUAACCUGCCCAUAAGACUGGGAUAACUCCGGGAAACCGGGGCUAAUACCGGAUAACAUUUUGAACCGCAUGGUUCGAAAUUGAAAGGCGGCUUCGGCUGUCACUUAUGGAUGGACCCGCGUCGCAUUAGCUAGUUGGUGAGGUAACGGCUCACCAAGGCAACGAUGCGUAGCCGACCUGAGAGGGUGAUCGGCCACACUGGGACUGAGACACGGCCCAGACUCCUACGGGAGGCAGCAGUAGGGAAUCUUCCGCAAUGGACGAAAGUCUGACGGAGCAACGCCGCGUGAGUGAUGAAGGCUUUCGGGUCGUAAAACUCUGUUGUUAGGGAAGAACAAGUGCUAGUUGAAUAAGCUGGCACCUUGACGGUACCUAACCAGAAAGCCACGGCUAACUACGUGCCAGCACCAAAAA
rnacentral:rRNA from 1 species